AAACCAGUUGAUAAUUUGCAAGUGAUAUGGAUGCUGAAAUUUUUAUUUCACUUCUUCAACAACUACCAGUGUUGUGGAACUAAUUCUGUGAUGCAAGUUUCUUCUCAAAGAGAAGCAAUGGUCACAGGUGCACGAUGUCAUCAUUUAGCAUAUUGCCACGGACUGUGUUAUUAACGGCAACAUCCCUUAUCUGAAAUAAUUAUUGAACGAGUUCGGGGAUGUCAAUUCCGCCCCAUUUCAAAAUACGUUCGCAAACCUUUUCCGUAAUUUGCAGAGCGCACACGUUCAUCUUAGGCGCAUCUCGUUUUACAAUGAUUCUCACAACGACGGCAACGUAAAUUUGCAAUGAUAAAUGAACAUGAAAAACUUACUGGACAAAAGACUUGGCUGUCAUCAACAGUAUUACAAAAACUAACUUUUGUCCAGUUGCUGUGUACUCAUUCACUCACUAAUUUAUUUUAUUUCUAAUCAUACACAAACAGCAUGAUUUAUUUCACACGCUCUGUUGCCACAUACUUUUUUAACAGUCUCAGAUAGUUAGAUAAAAAUGAACAAUUUUUUAUGAGCCAAUUAUAAUAACAUUGCCUAACAAGCCAGGGGCACUACUUA